rnacentral:lncRNA from 12 species
AAAGGCAGCGUGAUCAAUCAAUCUAGUGAGUCUUCAGACUGUUUACAAGUAGGAAACCUGCUGUCAGCCACAGAACUGAAAGUAGACAGGAGGCACUGACUCUCCAGCUUGACCACCAACUGAACUGAAAUCAUGUGUAUCCACGCACACUGACAGAGACACAGAGAAACGGAUAUAAAUGUAGACACAUAUGCAGAACUAGGAAGUUAGCAGAGGAGAAGUAACAUCAUUGAAGAUCAUUAAAUAAAAAAAAGAAAUAAAGCUGAAUCUUGAAUGGAGAAAAUGGAGUAAUUAAAAUAGAAUCAUGAAAAAUAAUUCAUCAAACCAAAAAGCAGAAAGAGGGAUAAAGAAGCAGGAGCACAUUGGUGACACAAAGAGAGCGGCAAGCCUCGAAUGCAAGGAUGAUCGUGCCUCACGGAUUCCAUGGAACAAGAAGCAAAUGAACUUGUGCAGAGGUGAAGCCAAAUCUAUAACAGAUAUGUCACUAAGUGUGGUACCAUUGCAUCAUGGAAAUAGUAAAUCCUGAAUACAUGAACAACCAACCACUGCAUUCUCCAAGAAUAACAGUGACAGCACUCUUCUAUAUUGAACCCUCAACAAGCUUUCUCAUCAUAAUGUUCCAAGAAGACAAAAUCAACUAACUGAAGUUACUAGUUAACAUAAACUUUUUGCAUUUACAAAAAAAAAAAAAAAAAAAAGAGGAGGAAGAGAAGAAAAGAAAGAGGAGGAAAAGAAGACGAGGAGGAGGAGAAAGAAGAAGAAGAAGGAAUAAGAAGAAGAAGAAGAAGAAGAAGAAGAAGAAGAAGAAGAAGAAGAAGAAUUAAAAAUAGUGAUUUUAUAAAGAAUAGUCAUCUUUGACUUAGAUCUCUAACAGCAUGAAGCUAAAACCUCAGGAACAGAAUCAGGAACAUCAUUGUAGAAUCACUGUAAAGAAUGAGCCUCAAACAUGGCACUACCUUAUUUUAAGAAGAGCUAGGACUUACUAUGAUGUGAGCAAAGAUCAAGUUAGGAAUAAUCCAGUUUAAAUACUGAAGCUAUGAUCUAAAGUGAGAGUUGGCUAUUAGUUUUUAUGUUUUGAUAGAGCCAUCAAUAUAGAAAACUUUAAAGACCCCAGGGUUUUAGCAGCCAUUCUGAUUUUCCACAUCUGUGGCAUUGUGAUACCAAGAAGUGCCUAGAAAUUUGCUAGGUUGGUCAGUAAGAGUUAUGUGACGCAGAGAUUUGUGGCUCAGAAUACUCCCUGGGCUGUGUGGAGCGCAGUCUCUCAGAGCAUGGUUCCAUCUGGUAGGAGCCUUCUUUAUUGGAUUACUACCAUAUAUCUCUUCAGUUCCCUAUCAUAACCUUUACAUUACUAAAAUAAAGGCCUUGAAGAC